ensembl:lncRNA
GUGUCUGCAGUUUUUGCAUUUCACUUUUCUUUGCAGCAACCUUUUCUUUUGCAACCAUGUUAUCAACUUGAAUGAUGUUUUUUUUGUCUCCUUGACAUUCACUUUUCUCAAAAGUGUUCCCACAAGCGAAGCCAUAGCACCGGUGGGCAGAGGAAAUAACUGAUGUUACUGGCCCUGAUUUGAAAAUCUGGCGCACUUUUCUGUUAUUAGUUCAAUAUGUGGAGGUACGCUUGAUUUUUACAUCUAAACACCUCCCACCGCAAAGGUUGGGCUGAUUCCCUGGUUGAUGCCUGACUCAAUCAUAAUAAUCAAGCGCUUCUACCGUCCGAUUGGCUAAGCCGCACCGCCAACUCUGUGCCGUUGAAAGAAGCUAAUAGUCCGCGCAAAAUUAAUUGGAUCUUGUCGCUAUGUACCAGCAUAUGAUUUUCCAUCAGUUAAGUUCGGCGUCGCCUGGAAAUAUGAUGGAAAGGCCUGAGCGCUCUACCCGGGCAAAAGGACAGCGGGGGAAUGAAGGAGAAAGCUCCGAUAUGCCUACUGCUGUUAGUAAUAUCGAAAAUAUUCAACCACACAAAGUGCAAUGGAAGAAAAGGUCGGAAGAGCUGCAGUCCCGAAUCAAUGAGCUGGAGGAGGAGAAUUCUUUGCUCAAGCAGCAGCUUGAGCAAAGGCCUUCAGCAAAUCAAGGUGAGAAAAUGGACAACACUGCCACCGACCCAGAGUCAGACACUGACUCGAGUUCCAACUCCAGCACUGACUCCACCGAUUCCAGGAGCAGUGAUACAAGCUCUUCCUCCUCUG